rnacentral:rRNA from 1 species
UACGGGGGGGGCAAGCGUUGUUCGGAAUUACUGGGCGUAAAGGGUGCGUAGGUGGUGAGGUAAGUCGGAUGUGAAAUCUCCGAGCUCAACUCGGAAAUGGCAUUGGAAACUACCUUGCUCGAGGGUUGGAGGGGGGACUGGAAUGCUUGGUGUAGCAGUGAAAUGCGUAGAUAUCAAGCGGAACACCAGUGGCGAAGGCGAGUCCCUGGACAACUCCUGACACUGAGGCACGAAAGCUAGGGGAGCAAACAGG